rnacentral:rRNA from 1 species
AACGAACGCUGGCGGCAGGCCUAACACAUGCAAGUCGAACGGUAACAGAAAGAAGCUUGCUUCUUUGUUGACGAGUGGCGGACGGGUGAGUAAUGUCUGGGAAACUGCCUGAUGGAGGGGGAUAACUACUGGAAACGGUAGCUAAUACCGCAUAACGUCGCAAGACCAAAGAGGGGGACCUUCGGGCCUCUUGCCAUCGGAUGUGCCCAGAUGGGAUUAGCUUGUUGGUGGGGUAACGGCUCACCAAGGCGACGAUCCCUAGCUGGUCUGAGAGGAUGACCAGCCACACUGGAACUGAGACACGGUCCAGACUCCUACGGGAGGCAGCAGUGGGGAAUAUUGCACAAUGGGCGCAAGCCUGAUGCAGCCAUGCCGCGUGUAUGAAGAAGGCCUUCGGGUUGUAAAGUACUUUCAGCGGGGAGGAAGGGAGUAAAGUUAAUACCUUUGCUCAUUGACGUUACCCGCAGAAGAAGCACCGGCUAACUCCGUGCCAGCAGCCGCCGUUAA